AUUUAAAAUUCCGGUGGUACGGGACGGGCACGCGCGACAUUAGGUAGUUGGCGGGGUAAGGGCCCACCAAGCCGACGAUGUCUAGGGGUUCUGAGAGGAAGGUCCCCCACACUGGAACUGAGACACGGUCCAGACUCCUACGGGAGGCAGCAGUGAGGAAUAUUGGUCAAUGGGCGAGAGCCUGAACCAGCCAAGUCGCGUGAGGGAAGAAUGGUCUAUGGCCUGUAAACCUCUUUUGUCAAGGAAGAAUAAGGAUGACGAGUCAUUCGAUGCCAGUACUUGACGAAUAAGCAUCGGCUAACUCCGUGCCAGCAGCCGCGGUAAUACGGGGGAUGCGAGCGUUAUCCGGAUUUAUUGGGUUUAAAGGGCGCGUAGGCGGGACGGCAAGUCAGCGGUAAAAGACUGCAGCUAAACUGUAGCACGCCGUUGAAACUGUUGACCUGGAGACGAGACGAGGGAGGCGGAACAAGUGAAGUAGCGGUGAAAUGCAUAGAUAUCACUUGGAACCCCGAUAGCGAAGGCAGCUUCCCAGGCUCGUUCUGACGCUGAUGCGCGAGAGCGUGGGUAGCGAACAGGAUUAGAUACCCUGGUAGUCCACGCCGUAAACGAUGCUCACUGGAUCUUGGCGAUACACGGCCAGGGUUCAAGCGAAAGUAUUAAGUGAGCCACCUGGGGAGUACGUCGGCAACGAUGAAACUCAAAGGAAUUGACGGGGGCCCGCACAAGCGGAGGAACAUGUGGUUUAAUUCGAUGAUACGCGAGGAACCUUACCCGGGUUUAAAUGUAGAUUGCAUGAGGUGGAAACACUUCUUCCCUUCGGGGCUAUUUACAAGGUGCUGCAUGGUUGUCGUCAGCUCGUGCCGUGAGGUGUCGGGUUAAGUCCCAUAACGAGCGCAACCCCUAUCGCCAGUUGCCAUCGGUUCAAGCCGGGCACUCUGUCGAGACUGCCACCGUAAGGUGCGAGGAAGGCGGGGAUGACGUCAAAUCAGCACGGCCCUUACACCCGGGGCGACACACGUGUUACAAUGGCCGGUACAGAGGGCAGCCACGGGGUGACCCGGAGCGAAUCUCUAAAGCCGGUCGUAGUUCGGACUGGAGUCUGCAACCCGACUCCACGAAGUUGGAUUCGCUAGUAAUCGCGCAUCAGCCAUGGCGCG
rnacentral:rRNA from 1 species